UACGAAGGGGGCUAGCGUUGCUCGGAAUUACUGGGCGUAAAGGGCGCGUAGGCGGACAUUUUAGUCAGAGGUGAAAGCCCAGGGCUCAACCUUGGAAUAGCCUUUGAUACUGGAUGUCUUGAGUUCGGGAGAGGUGGAGUGGAAUGCCGAGUGUAGAGGUGAAAUUCGUAGAUAUUAGGAAGAACACCAGUGGCGAAGGCGGACUCACUGGCCCGGUACUGACGCUGAGGCGCGAAAGCGUGGGGAGCAAACAGGG
rnacentral:rRNA from 1 species